CCCUUAGAUGUUCUGGGCCGCACGCGCGCUACACUGAACAGUUCAACAAGUCUUAACCUUGGCCGAUAGGUCUGGGUAAUCUUUGAACGCUGUUCGUGAUUGGGAUAGACCUUUGCAAUUAUGGGUCUUCAACGAGGAAUUCCUAGUAAACGCAAGUCAUCAGCUUGCAUUGAUUACGUCCCUGCCCUUUGUACACACCGCCCGUCGCACCUACCGAUUGAAUGGUCCGGUGAAAUCUCGGGACGGCGGCUUGGUCGCUUGCGUCCGACUGCUGAAACUUGAUUAAACCAUAUCAUUUAGAGGAAGGGGAAGUCGUAACA
rnacentral:rRNA from 1 species